rnacentral:rRNA from 1 species
UACGAAGGGGGCGAGCGUUGUUCGGAAUUACUGGGCGUAAAGGGCGCGCAGGCGGCUCUGAAAGUCAGAUGUGAAAGCCCCGGGCUUAACCUGGGAAUGGCAUGGGAAACUGGCGGGCUGGAGUGUGGCAGAGGGGGGUGGAAUUCCGCGUGUAGCAGUGAAAUGCGUAGAGAUGCGGAGGAACACCGAUGGCGAAGGCAGCCCCCUGGGCUAACACUGACGCUCAGGCACGAAAGCGUGGGGAGCAAACAGG